AUUGAACGCUGGCGGCAUGCCUUACACAUGCAAGUCGAACGGCAGCACGGGAGCAAUCCUGGUGGCGAGUGGCGAACGGGUGAGUAAUAUAACGGAACGUGCCCAGUCGUGGGGGAUAACGUAGCGAAAGCUACGCUAAUACCGCCUACGAUCAAUGGAUGAACACGGGGUAUCGCAAGACCUCGCGCGAUUGGAGCGGCCGAUAUAAGAUUAGGUAGUUGGUGAGGUACAGGCUCACCAAGCCGACGAUCUUUAGCUGGUCUGAGAGGACGACCAGCCACACUUGGAUUGAGAAACGGCACAGACUUCUACGGGAGGCACCAGUGGUGAAUUUUGGACAAUGGGCGCAAGCCUGAUCCAGCAAUGCCGCGUGCAGGAUGAAGGCAUUCGGGUUGUAAACUGCUUUUGUACGGAACGAAACGGUGAGCUCUAAUACAGUUUGCUAAUGACGGUACCGUAAGAAUAAGCACCGGCUAACUACGUGCCAGCCGCCGCAGUAA
rnacentral:rRNA from 1 species